rnacentral:rRNA from 1 species
UACGUAGGUCCCAAGCGUUGUCCGGAUUUAUUGGGCGUAAAGCGAGCGCAGGUGGUUUCUUAAGUCUGAUGUAAAAGGCAGUGGCUCAACCAUUGUGUGCAUUGGAAACUGGGAGACUUGAGUGCAGGAGAGGAGAGUGGAAUUCCAUGUGUAGCGGUGAAAUGCGUAGAUAUAUGGAGGAACACCGGUGGCGAAAGCGGCUCUCUGGUCUGUAACUGACGCUGAGGCUCGAAAGCGUGGGGAGCGAACAGG